GCACAAGCGGUGGAGCAUGUGGUUUAAUUCGACGCAACGCGAAGAACCUUACCAGGGCUUGACAUCCCCUGACCGCGUAUGAAAGUACGUUUUCACCCUCGGGUGACAGGGAGACAGGUGGUGCAUGGUUGUCGUCAGCUCGUGUCGUGAGAUGUUGGGUUAAGUCCCGCAACGAGCGCAACCCUUGUCACUAGUUGCCAUCAUUUAGUUGGGCACUCUAGUGAGACUGCCGGUGACAAACCGGAGGAAGGUGGGGAUGACGUCAAGUCCUCAUGGCCCUUAUGGGUAGGGCUUCACACGUCAUACAAUGGUCGGUACAGAGGGUUGCCAAGCCGCGAGGUGGAGCCAAUCCCUUAAAGCCGAUCGUAGUCCGGAUCGUAGUCUGCAACUCGACUACGUGAAGUCGGAAUCGCUAGUAAUCGCAGAUCAGCAUGCUGCGGUGAAUACGUUCCCGGGUCUU
rnacentral:rRNA from 1 species